AUAGACCUAAUAUCAAAUGGACAGGCCCUUAGAGAGAAAUUCUGGCAUGCCGCAUAUGAAAGAGAGAGAUGGAGCUAGAUGAGUCAAUGUCAAAAUCAUAUGAUCAAAACAUUGAACUCACAUUCAGAAAAUCGCUAAUUUUUCUCUCAUUCUGAAUUGAACACAUAGUUAAUUUGAUUGAUUCGAUUUGUAAAAGUGUUGAACAUUCUAAUAAAAGGAAUUAGCGAAUCCAUCUGCUAUUACGAAAUUAAGCACCAAAAGAACUAAUUUUCAAAUAAUAUGCCUCACACUCGUGCAGCCUUCAAUUGUACAGCGAGAAUAGAAAAAAGCCAAAAGUUGAAAUUUCAUUCUUCACAGUUUUCCAAAGGAUGACAAAUUAAGGGAACAGUGGAUGAAAGCUGAAGAAGAAUUGAUUUCAACCCUUUUUCCUUGUUGAAAAUAUGCAGCAACCGUUUUCAUCAACAUGAUUUAUUAAUAUUCAUGGUACAAAAACUCUGAAAAAAGAUGUUAUUCCUUCAGUUUUCAGUUUCUCCAAUUAUAUGCCUGAGAGAUUAAAUUAUGGAGAUAAAUGUCUUGAAGAUAAUAUUGAAGAAAUUGAACAGGACCAGCCAGAGACAAAACAGCAAGAGAUGGGGCAACCAGAGACGGUACAACUGUUUAUAAUAUCAAAAUCCUCUGCUGCUGCCAUGGAAGAUUUUCCCCCCAGAUUGAAUACUAAUAUUAGAAAUACUAGAAAUUAGAAACCUGGGAAUGAGGAUUUCCAAGAAUGGAACACUAGACGAAGUACUAUCUGAGAGAAACAUCCAAAGAAAACCAAUAAUCUCAAUGUUAAAUAGGAUAUUAUCGAUUAAAAACAUAAAUGUGAAUAGGUAAUAAGAAAAAAUUUACUCAAUAGUUAGGAACAUAAUAACAUACAGCUCUGAAGUGGACAGCAGCUAGAAAAUCUGAAAGGGACAUGAUACCAAAUGAUACAAUAAGACAUAUAAUGGAAAUUAUUGAUCUUAAGAACACAACAGUUGGUUUGGUACAGACAAGUCCAUAAAUACUUAUGAUACUAGGUGUGAUUUAAACAAUAAUAAUUUUGAAAUUUUCAGUUUUUUAGAUUGCCAUACUAAAUGAGGAACAUAUUCUGUGCCGUGGCUUAAAAAUUCAUCUUUAGAGAAGCCCAUUCAAUGAAAGGCUGAAAAUGGGUAUCUUGAAUUGUUAUUUAGUUGAAAAUUACUUUCAACGUAUGAGAACAACAACUUAUAACGUUAUGAUAUGUAUUUUUCAGGAAAAAUGAAUGUAUCAUAACUGAUCCUUGGAGAGAUAAGGAGAAGAAGACCCAUAAAUUUCAAGAUUUGGAGGAGUUUAGAACUAAGAAGAGGUAGAGCUUAAUCCUGAUAUUUUUCAAUAUCAUGGAUAUUAAAUGAUUGGGAGAGUGAAUAUCCUCCUUAGUGGAGUGAGAAAUCCGACUGCCAAUAUGUUCUUCCUCAUGCGCUGAUAGGCUAGAGUCGGACCAUUUUUCAAAUCAUUUAUUGUAAUAAUGUAUUUUGAACAGCAAUAAAAACUUAAUGAAUACAAUUCUUCAUAAACUCUCUUUUUUUUAAUUGCCUGUGUUAUCUGGAAACAAUUUUUUGAAAGAUUUUACUAUUAUCAAAUUGAUAAGUGACUUGAACUAAACUAGUUGGAAGUAAUACAAAAUUGAAGAAUGAAAUGUAAUAGACAUAACUGAUUGUAUUUAAACGAUAAAAUUGUU